AAUGAACCGGCGAGUUACGAUUUGAUGCAAGGUUAAGCAGUAAAUGUGGAGCCGUAGCGAAAGCGAGUCUGAAUAGGGCGUUUAGUAUUUGGUCGUAGACCCGAAACCAGGUGAUCUACCCUUGGUCAGGUUGAAGUUCAGGUAACACUGAAUGGAGGACCGAACCGACUUACGUUGAAAAGUGAGCGGAUGAACUGAGGGUAGCGGAGAAAUUCCAAUCGAACCUGGAGAUAGCUGGUUCUCUCCGAAAUAGCUUUAGGGCUAGCCUCAAGUGAUGAUUAUUGGAGGUAGAGCACUGUUUGGACGAGGGGCCCCUCUCGGGUUACCGAAUUCAGACAAA
rnacentral:rRNA from 1 species